rnacentral:rRNA from 1 species
GACGAACGCUGGCGGCGUGCUUAACACAUGCAAGUCGAACGGAAAGGCCCUGCUUUUGUGGGGUGCUCGAGUGGCGAACGGGUGAGUAACACGUGAGUAACCUGCCCUUGACUUUGGGAUAACUUCAGGAAACUGGGGCUAAUACCGGAUAGGAGCUCCUGCUGCAUGGUGGGGGUUGGAAAGUUUCGGCGGUUGGGGAUGGACUCGCGGCUUAUCAGCUUGUUGGCGGGGUAGUGGCUUACCAAGGCUUUGACGGGUAGCCGGCCUGAGAGGGUGACCGGCCACAUUGGGACUGAGAUACGGCCCAGACUCCUACGGGAGGCAGCAGUGGGGAAUAUUGCACAAUGGGCGGAAGCCUGAUGCAGCAACGCCGCGUGCGGGAUGACGGCCUUCGGGCUGUAAACCGCUUUCGCCUGUGACGAAGCGUGAGUGACGGUAAUGGGUAAAGAAGCACCGGCUAACUACGUG